GAUGAAGAACGCAGCGAAAUGCGAUAAGUAAUGUGAAUUGCAGAAUUCAGUGAAUCAUCGAAUCUUUGAACGCACAUUGCGCCCGCCAGUAUUCUGGCGGGCAUGCCUGUUCGAGCGUCAUUUCAACCAUCAAGCCCCCGGCUUGUGUUGGGGACCUGCGGCUGCCGCAGGCCCUGAAAACCAGUGGCGGGCUCGCUAGUCACUCCGAGCGUAGUAAUACAUCUCGCUCAGGGCGUGCUGCGGGUUCCGGCCGUUAAAAAGCCUUAUUUACCCAAGGUUGACCUCGCAUCAGGUAGGAAGACCCGCUGAACUUAAGCAUAUCAAUAAGCGGAGGA
rnacentral:misc_RNA from 1 species